GCUUGGAUGGCUCAGUUGGUUAAGCAUCUGACUUCGGCUCAGGUCAUGAUCUCACGAUUCGUGGGUUUGAGCCCCACAUCGGGCU
rnacentral:tRNA from 1 species